UUAGAAAAACAGGAAUUGAACCUGCACUAGAGAAAUCAAAAUUCUCUGUACUCCCAGUAUACUAUUUUCUA
rnacentral:tRNA from 1 species